rfam:Triticum aestivum genome assembly, contig: Triticum_aestivum_CS42_TGACv1_scaffold_404322_5BL
GAUCUACUCCCUCCGUCUAUAAAUACUUGUCAUCAAAAUGGAUAAAAAGAGAUGUAUCUAGAACUAAAAUACAUCUAGAUACAUCCCCUUUUAUCCAUUUUGAUGACAAGUAUUUCCGGACGGAGGGAGUACUAU